CUGGAGAUCUAAAUCAGAGCAUUGCUACCUCAUGUGUAUGUACUCUAAUAGGUAUUCCAAAAGCUCUGGCAAAGC